rnacentral:lncRNA from 1 species
GAAAUGCAAAACUUCAAUGCCACGGAUAUCUCAAAUUUGCAAGGCCUUUUAAAGGUUUUCUUUGCAAAUGCAGCUCGUUACGUGGUAGUGAAAUCUUCUCUCUUAAAUAAAAUUUCAACUGAAUCAUAUGAUGAGUUACUUUCUACGGCCACUCGACAUCUUAGAGAUGCUCAGAGUAAGGAGAAAUAACAAGCGGAAAAGAUCUCAGCACACAUGUUGAAACUUAAAGAGAUUGAUCGUGAGAAAGUAGAGUUGAGGAAGCGACUUGAGUGCUUGGAUACUCACAGGAAGGAGACGCUUUCACUACUACGAGAAGAGCAAGA